CAAAUUGAGCACUUUGCGCGCCCGCUCCUUAGCUUCUGUUUCUCUACUUCCGCUCGCAUCCCAGCCGCCGCCGCCAUCAUGAGGGAAAUCGUGCACCUGCAGGCCGGGCAGUGCAGCAACCAAAUCGGCGCCAAGUUCUGGGAGGUGAUCAGCGAUGAGCACGGCAUCGAGCCCACGGGCACCUACCACUGGGACAGCGACCUGCAGCUGGAGCGCAUCAACGUGUACUACAACGAGGCCACCGGCGGCAAGUACGUGCCCCGCGCCGUGCUCGUGGAUCUGGAGCCCGGCACCAUGGACUCCGUGCGCUCGGGGCCUUUCGGGCAGAUCUUCCGGCCGGACAACUUCGUCUUCGGUCAGAGUGGUGCUGGGAACAACUGGGCCAAGGGGCACUACACAGAAGGCGCGGAGCUGGUGGACUCGGUGCUGGAUGUUGUGAGGAAGGAGGCUGAGAGCUGUGACUGCCUGCAGGGUUUCCAGCUGACCCACUCCCUGGGUGGGGGGUCGGGGUCUGGGAUGGGUACCCUCCUCAUCAGCAAGAUCCGGGAGGAGUACCCAGACAGGAUAAUGAACACGUUCAGUGUGGUGCCUUCGCCCAAGGUGUCAGACACAGUGGUGGAGCCCUACAACGCCACCCUCUCAGUCCACCAGCUCGUAGAAAACACAGACGAGACCUACUGCAUUGAUAAUGAAGCUCUCUACGACAUUUGCUUCAGAACCCUAAAGCUGACCACGCCCACCUAUGGUGACCUGAACCACCUGGUGUCUGCUACCAUGAGUGGGGUCACCACCUGCCUGCGCUUCCCGGGCCAGCUCAAUGCUGACCUGCGGAAGCUGGCUGUGAACAUGGUCCCAUUCCCCCGCCUGCACUUCUUCAUGCCCGGCUUUGCCCCGCUGACCAGCCGGGGCAGCCAGCAGUACCGGGCCCUGACCGUGCCUGAGCUCACCCAGCAGAUGUUUGAUGCUAAGAACAUGAUGGCUGCUUGUGACCCCCGCCAUGGCCGCUACCUGACGGUUGUUGCCGUGUUUAGGGGCCGCAUGUCCAUGAAGGAGGUGGACGAGCAAAUGCUUAAUGUCCAAAACAAAAACAGCAGCUAUUUUGUUGAGUGGAUCCCCAACAAUGUGAAAACAGCUGUCUGUGACAUCCCGCCCCGGGGGCUAAAAAUGUCCGCCACCUUCAUUGGCAACAGCACGGCCAUCCAGGAGCUGUUCAAGCGCAUCUCCGAGCAGUUCACGGCCAUGUUCCAGCGCAAGGCCUUCCUGCACUGGUACACGGGCGAGGGCAUGGACGAGAUGGAGUUCACCAAGGCCGAGAGCAACAUGAACGACCUGGUGUCCGAGUACCAGCAGUACCAGGACGCCACGGCCGAGGAGGAGGGCGAGUUCGAGGAGGAGGCUGAGGAGGAGGUGGCCUAGAGCCCUCAGUCACCGGGGAAAGCAGGGAAGCAGUGCGAACUCUUUAUUCACUCCCAGCCUGUCCUGUGGCCUGUCCCGCUAUGUGUGCACUUGCUGUUUUCCCUGUCCUCAUCCCAUGCUGUACAGACACCACCAUUAAAGCAUUUUCAUAGUGAAAAAAAAAAA